AUUUAAUUGACAAGUCUUAAAUAAGACGAAACGCGCUUCCUGGAU
rfam:Schistosoma curassoni strain Dakar, Senegal genome assembly, scaffold: SCTD_scaffold0001924